rnacentral:lncRNA from 1 species
CCUAGGAUGCAUGGAUAUUUCAAAUCCACAUUGUGUCAAUAUCGAAUAACUAUUCUCUUCAGGUACUUCUCAAAUACGUGUCUGAUACUUAUGCUAAAUAUCUUACAUUUUAAAAUUUAAAAGUACUCUGAAUAUUUACUACUACACCUUAUGUACUUUCGUGAUACCUCCAAAAAUGAAAGAAAGGAUCAAUUUUGUAGCUUAGCAAUAUUAAUAUUAAG